AUCUUUCUGGAGAUCCCUGUGUACCUGAGGCCCUCUAAGGGAUUCAGUAUAUAAGUGGAGGAACUGCAGGUUUCCCUAAGAGAUAGCAGUUUUCCAAAUACCAGGGGCUUAAGUUUGUUUGACUCCAGAGCAGCAGAAUGAAGGUGAACAAGCCCAGUUCCUUCAGCCUGUCCUCAUAGGAGAGGUGCUUCAGCCCUUGGAUCAUCUUUAUGGCCCUCCUCUGGACCCCCUCCAAAAGCGCCACAUCUUUCCCAUGUUUGGAGCCCCAGACUUGGAUGCAGUAAUGCAGCUGGGCCUCACAAGGGCAGAAUCGAGGAGGACAAUCGCCUCCCUUGCCCUGCUGGCCUUCUCUCUUCUGAGAGAACCUAGGAUACCAUUGGCCUUCCAGGCUGCAAGCACACACUGUUGGCUCACAUUUAGUUUUUCAUCAAACAGGAACUCUAAGUCCUUCUUGGCAGGGCUGCUCUCAAGGAUUUCUUUUCCCAGUUUGAAAACAUAUUUGGUAUUACCUUGACCCAGGUGCAAAACCUUGUGCUUUGCUUUGUUGACUCUCAUUAGGUUCACGCAGGACUAUCUUUUGAGUUUGUCAAGGUCCCUCUGGGUGGCAUCCCUUCCUUCUGCUAUAUCAACUGCACCACUCAACUUGGCAUCACCAGCAAACUUGCUGAGGGUGGCCUUCUCUUCUCCAAGCUGAACGAGCUCAGCUCUCUCAGCCUGUCUUCAUAGGACGGGUGCUCCAGCCCUCUGAUCACCUCUGUGGCUCUCCUCUGGACCUGUUCCAAAAGUUCCACAACUUUCUUCAGCUGGGAGCCCCAGGCCUGGACACAGUACUUCAGAUGGGACCUCACGAGGGCAGAGUGGAGGGUGCCAAUGACCUCCCUCACCCUGCUGGCCACCUUCCUUUUGAUGCAGCCCAGGAUACUGUUGGCCUUCUGAGCUGCAGGGCCCACACUUGCGAGAUGAAAUCAGCCUGACUGCUUUUCAUUAGCUGGUGGGAUGAGUGUUUUGGUCUUGGUCAUGUUCCCAGAGACCAGCUUUUUGUCUACAUUGCUGGCCUGAACCACAAGGGAUGAUAAUAUUGCUGGUGGAAAUUGGCAAGUAUGGGGCAAUUAGUGCCUCUGGCUGUGGAAAAAAGUCAGCCAGAUAAAUACACAGAUACGUGCAAGCUAUCAUUUAUUAUUCCCUAGGAAAGAUCUUGGGGGUCAUUGUGGGUAUUUAAUAAACUGUCUAGUUAGUGCACAGGACCUAGAAAGUAAUUGUAGGAAAAGAUAGACCCUAAAACAUCCAUUCUGUUACCAUGCAAGUAGAUGUUGUCACCCACCUCUUUAAUACUGUAGUCAGUUCUAGUAACUUCAUAAAGUUUAUAGAAGAAAUAAAAAAA
ensembl:lncRNA